UGGGGAAUAUUGCACAAUGGGGGAAACCCUGAUGCAGCCAUGCCGCGUGUGUGAAGAAGGCCUUCGGGUUGUAAAGCACUUUCAGCGAGGAGGAAAGGUUGAUGCCUAAUACGUAUCAACUGUGACGUUACUCGCAGAAGAAGCACCGGCUAACUCCGUGCCAGCAGCCGCGGUAAUACGGAGGGAGCAAGCGUUAAUCGGAAUUACUGGGCGUAAAGCGCACGCAGGCGGUUGGAUAAGUUAGAUGUGAAAGCCCCGGGCUCAACCUGGGAAUUGCAUUUAAAACUGUCCAGCUAGAGUCUUGUAGAGGGGGGUAGAAUUCCAGGUGUAGCGGUGAAAUGCGUAGAGAUCUGGAGGAAUACCGGUGGCGAAGGCGGCCCCCUGGACAAAGACUGACGCUCAGGUGCGAAAGCGUGGGGAGCAAACA
rnacentral:rRNA from 1 species